AUACGGAGGGUGCAAGCGUUAAUCGGAAUUACUGGGCGUAAAGAGUACGUAGGUGGUUUGUUAAGUCAGAUGUGAAAGCCCCGGGCUCAACCUGGGAACUGCAUUUGAAACUGGCAAACUAGAGUAUGGUAGAGGGGGGUAGAAUUUCUAGUGUAGCGGUGAAAUGCGUAGAUAUUAGAAGGAAUACCAGUGGCGAAGGCGGCCCCCUGGACCAAUACUGACACUGAGGUACGAAAGCGUGGGUAGCGAACAGGAUUAGAAACCCCUGUAGUCC
rnacentral:rRNA from 1 species